GACGAACGCUGGCGGCGUGCUUAACACAUGCCAGUCGAACGGAAAGGCCCUGCUUUUGUGGGGUGCUCGAGUGGCGAACGGGUGAGUAACACGUGAGUAACCUGCCCUUGACUUUGGGAUAACUUCAGGAAACUGGGGCUAAUACCGGAUAGGAGCUCCUGCUGCAUGGUGGGGGUUGGAAAGUUUCGGCGGUUGGGGAUGGACUCGCGGCAUAUCAGCUUGUUGGUGGGGUAGUGGCUUACCAAGGCUUUGACGGGUAGCCGGCCUGAGAGGGUGACCGGCCACAUUGGGACUGAGAUACGGCCCAGACUCCUACGGGAGGCAGCAGUGGGGAAUAUUGCACAAUGGGCGGAAGCCUGAUGCAGCAACGCCGCGUGCGGGAUGACGGCCUUCGGGUUGUAAACCGCUUUCGCCUGUGACGAAGCGUGAGUGACGGUAAUGGGUAAAGAAGCACCGGCUAACUACGUG
rnacentral:rRNA from 1 species